UAGUAGAUGCACCCUGAUCAAUUAUCCUUCGGCUUCGGCUGAGGGAUUUUUUU
rnacentral:sRNA from 1 species